rnacentral:tRNA from 1 species
GGGGAAGUGUCGGAACUGGCAGACGAGCAAGACUUAGGAUCUUGUGCCGCAAGGCGUAGGAGUUCGAGUCUCCUCUUCCCCACCA